UUCCAUAGGUGUAUAGUCUUCAAAUUAUAGUUAUAGUUAUAGAUCUAGAUUAGAUAGAAUAAAAUUCUCUCACCUAUUUUUGUGUCUUGAAUUGAUUGAUUGAAUGCAAGAAAAGUCAUGUCUUCUUACUCUUCUCUGAUCUGCAUAUCCAUUGAAUUUAGCUCCGGUAACAUGCUCUAUUUUGCUCUGGUCAUUGUGGAUUGGUGGUGGUAUUAGAGAUUGCGGUUAGGCAUUAAUUGGGACUAUUGUGGUUACAAGCAUUAUGGUCAACCUAUGAAAUACAUAUAUUCUUCAGCAUUUCCCAAACAAGGUGUCAAGAACAAUUCUGAAAGAAAAGCGCAAAACAAACAUUCUUAUUGAUGACCAGACACAGAGAAAGUAUAAGUGUCGCCUCAUUACCGCCGAAAGAGCAUGCUAUGAAAAAUACUUGGAUGGGCAGUGGUUCAAUUUCUGCAGAGAACGUGUCAUGGAAGAAGGUGGUAAGCUCAUCUUUGAUCUCGAAAAGUCACCGAAGAACUUGCACGUUCGAGUUGUUCCAAAAUAGAUCUUUGCUGCUGAACGAUUUGAACUUCUACUAUUUUGGCGUAUCGCUUUGGACUGUAAUCGUAAACUAUCUUGUCUUUGGGAU